AUGUAUAAACAAUUCCUAAACCUCUUUCUCCAAAGUCUGUUUUUUUUAAAACAGUGUAUAAUUUCAAAACAGCAAAUGAUAUGCUGCUUCUUAAAAUGAAUGCCUACAGGAUGACUGCUACAUUCCAAACAACAAAAUUCUACCAAGUGAUUUGGCUUAUUGCAACCAUAUUGCUAACGCCUUUAAAGUAUCAUACAGGAGAAGGUGCAGAAAAAGCCAACAGUUCAAGUAAAAGAAGAGAAAUGAGUCAUCAUCCUGGAAAAGAUGGAAACAGCGAGAGUCGCAUAGAAGAAUGAGACCCCAGGUGCUGCAAUGGACAUCCUGCAUGUUAGUGCUGGAUAUGCCCACAGAAUGAUUUUCAAGGCUGCUUGCUGUUGACCACUGUGAACAACACAAAAAGCUUGCAAAAGAGACAGCAUAAAGCCAGUUAUUGAAGGGGCGAGCCUGUCAGCCUGCGAUUGUUGAUGUGCAGCUAGGGAAUGAUGAAGAAGUAUUUUGAAAAUCCGACUGUCUGAUAUCAGACCAAAACUAAGUGAGAUGCACGAAGCAGCACUAUGGCAACUCCUUGUUAUUCGAAUAACAUGUCUUUAUAACCUUCCUUUCUCCUGCAGCACUAUUUCCCUGUUGACCCCAUGCAGUCCUCUUUUUCUACAGACUGCACAGAUAAAGCUUAAUAUUCGAUAAAUAAUAAAUCAAGUUACUUGGAGUUAUACA
rnacentral:lncRNA from 1 species